rnacentral:rRNA from 1 species
CCUACGGGAGGCUGCAGUAGGGAAUAUUGCUCAAUGGGGGAAACCCUGAAGCAGCAACGCCGCGUGGAGGAUGAAGGUUUUCGGAUUGUAAACUCCUUUUGUUAGAGAAGAUAAUGACGGUAUCUAACGAAUAAGCACCGGCUAACUCCGUGCCAGCAGCCGCGGUAAUACGGAGGGUGCAAGCGUUACGCGGAAUCACUGGGCGGAAAGAGCGCGUAGGCGGGUUAGCAAGUCAGAUGUGAAAUCCUAUGGCUUAACCAUAGAACUGCAUUUGAAACUGUUAUUCUAGAGUAUGGGAGGGGUAGGUGGAAUUCUUGGUGUAGGGGUAAAAUCCGUAGAGAUCAAGAGGAAUACUCAUUGCGAAGGCGACCUGCUAGAACAUAACUGACGCUGAUGCGCGAAAGCGUGGGGAGCAAACAGGAUUAGAUACCCGGGUAGUC